UGGGGAAUAUUGCACAAUGGGCGGAAGCCUGAUGCAGCGACGCCGCGUGAGGGAUGACGGCCUUCGGGUUGUAAACCUCUUUCAGCAGGGACGAAGCGCAAGUGACGGUACCUGCAGAAGAAGCGCCGGCCAACUACGUGCCAGCAGCCGCGGUAAGACGUAGGGCGCGAGCGUUGUCCGGAUUUAUUGGGCGUAAAGAGCUCGUAGGCGGCUUGUCGCGUCGUCCGUGAAAACCUGGGGCUCAACCCUAGGCUUGCGGUCGAUACGGGCAGGCUAGAGUUCGGUAGGGUAGACUGGAAUUCCUGGUGUAGCGGUGAAAUGCGCAGAUAUCAGGAGGACCACCGGUGGCGAAGGCGGGUCUCUGGGCCGAUACUGACGCUGAGGAGCGAAAGCGUGGGGAGCGAACAG
rnacentral:rRNA from 1 species